UACCUCGUGAUGUAAUGACCAGCACAUUCGGCUCACAACCGAGAGAUCCUAGGUUCGAAUCCCGGCGAGGAAG